AAAAACGUAACCUUAAGACGCACGACCAUAUAGAAUCUACACUUUUAAUACACACUUUUAACACACACUUUUAACACUUUUCACACAAGUAAGAGCUGGAGUAACUAACGUAACUAGGAAUCGAUGGUUUGAUGACUCAUCACAUAAGAAGACAUGAAACAUAAAUUCGCAGUUAACAUUUUUGGAGACUAAGAUCAAAAUUCAUGGAAAAGCAAAGUACUUUGGCAGAGCAAUGAUAUAAGCUCUCCAUUGAUCAAGUAAUAUGGAGAAGCAUGACUCCUGUCAUAAUCGGCAGGUAAAUCGGAGCUCCACAACCUCGACCACCUACCAGGCCAUUCCAUUCCAUUGGACCACGUCUUUGCUUUUCGUAUCCUAUUUGUAAAGAAACAAAAAUACACUUUCCGAAGAAGCAAACCUC
rnacentral:sRNA from 1 species